CGAGAACGGGCUUGGGCCCAGAGUAUGUUCCAGAUCCCAGAGUUUGAGCCGAGUGAGCAGGAAGACGCUAGUACUACAGAUAGGGGCCUGGGCCCUAGCCUCACUGAGGACCAGCCAGGUCCCUACCUGGCCCCAGGUCUCCUGGGGAGCAUCGUUCAGCAGCAGCCGGGACAGGCAGCCAAUAACAGUCAUCAUGGAGAUGGAGCAGGCAGGUGACCCUAAGUGACAAGCCAGAGCCGUGUGAAGUUGGAAAGAGGAAGACGGAGAGGCGUUGGAAGACACUGGUUAUACUUUCCACUUCCCAUCGCUGACCCCGUAACAGCCACAGAAACCUGAGCUCAACCAGGCGCUGGGACUAUGGAGACCCGGAGUCGCCACAGUUCGUACCCAGCGGGGACUGAGGAAGAUGAAGGGAUGGAGGAGGAGCUUAGCCCUUUUCGAGGACGCUCGCGCUCGGCUCCCCCCAAUCUCUGGGCAGCGCAGCGCUAUGGCCGUGAGCUCCGAAGAAUGAGCGAUGAAUUUGAGGGUUCCUUCAAGGGACUUCCUCGCCCAAAGAGCGCAGGCACUGCAACACAGAUGCGACAAAGCGCCAGUUGGACGCGCAUUAUCCAGUCCUGGUGGGAUCGAAAUUUGGGGAAAGGAGGCUCCACUCCCUCCCAGUGAUCUGCUCCACAUUCCCGGAAUUCUACCCGCUCCCAUCGCCCGCCAUAUUGGGUGUGGGCGGAAGUCUUUCGAGGCCUUAGGAAAAAAGGAUCGCUGUGUCCCUUUAACAGGGAGAAGAGCUGACGUACAGCGUUGAGUUCCUUCCGGUGCGUGCAAUAGCCAUGGAGGGGUGGCCCUUGCUUUGGAGUUUUCAAAGUUUUCCACACACCCUACCCCCUACGCCUCCGGAAGUGGCUAUGUUCCCUCUCCGUUACUGGACAGCCCUCAGGCGCCUGUGCUAAGUUGCGAGUCCUGGUAAACCGAGACUGGGUGCUGUCCUAUCAUCCUAGCUGGAGGCCCCAGGUCGGGAGAAACGUGCUUUAUAAUAAAGCCCGCGCAUGUGUC
rnacentral:lncRNA from 1 species